rnacentral:lncRNA from 1 species
CUCGCCGGGAGGGGCCGGGCCGUGCCCGGGGGCUGCGCUGGGCCCGGGGCCGAGCCCUCCGGGGCCGCCGGGCUCCUUACAGCUCUGCGAGGCUGCAGCCCCUCAGUCGAGCCCAGCGCGUGACCACGGGGGUGACACGAUUUUUGUAGAAUUAGAUUGGAUAUCGGGAAGGAAUUAUUGACUGUAAGGGUGGUUGAAGCCCUGGCACAGGUUGCCCAGAGAAGCUGUGGCUGCCCCAUCACUGGAAGUUACCCAGGCCACAUUGCAUAUGGCUUGGAGCAACUUGGUCUAGUAGAAGGAAGGGAAUGGAAAUUUCUUUUCAAGAGACUGUUCCCUGGGCAAGGCCUGAUGAGUUUAACAUCUCAAUGGACUGGGAGCACCAGAGGAUGCACAAGAGAUAAGCGACCAUUAAUGAACAUGAAUGUCUGAACGUCCUUCCUGGUGUGUCGGAGAUACUUGGUCCAGGAAAAGAUCAUAAGAGAAGAAUGAGGAACUGAUUAGCAUUGAAGGUGAAGAGAUCAAUAACCAAUAGGAAACCAAAUUUUAAGAACUGUGUAACUUCGGACCAAUAAACAUUGAACCAAUGAAUCUCUCUGAGUUUUG